rnacentral:misc_RNA from 1 species
UGAACAGCCAACAGGGGUGAUGGCUCUGCAGAACUAAGCUUGCUGAGUGGAGGUAACGGGGUAUCAGGUGCUUGAGGAAUUCCACUUGAUUGCGUCGUUUCCGUUCCACUUGUUAGUGAAGUUGUCGGUUUCUGCUCAGCAUGGAGUUGAACAAGUGGUGUUCCUUCUUUGCUCAGAGAUAUUGUUCUAGCAGAAGGUUUCAUCCACCAAGCUUCCCAAGGUUCAAUCAUCUUGCUCAACUCUCCUGAUGCCAUAGCUCUUAAGAACCGUUUCUUCUCCUCCACGGACAAAUCAUCAAAACUUAGUUGGUCACCAGCAAGAACUUUUUCAACAGUUUCCUCGGAUAAAGUCG